rnacentral:rRNA from 1 species
GACGAACGCUGGCGGCGUGCUUAACACAUGCAAGUCGAACGGAAAGGCCCCUUUGGGGGUACUCGAGUGGUGAACGGGUGAGUAACACGUGAGUAACCUGCCCUUGACUUCGGGAUAACUUCAGGAAACUGGGGCUAAUACCGGAUAGGAAUCCUUGCUGCAUGGUGGUGGUUGGAAAGCUUCGGCGGUUUUGGAUGGUCUUGCUGCUUAUCAGCUUGUUGGUGGGUUAGUGGCUUACCAAGGCGUUGACGGGUAGCCGGCCUGAGAGGGCGACCGGCCACAUUGGGACUGAGAUACGGCCCAGGUGCCUACGGGAGGCAGCAGUGGGGAAUAUUGCACAAUGGGCGGAAGCCUGAUGCAGCAACGCCGCGUGCGGGAUGACGGCCUUCGGGUUGUAAACCGCUUUCAGCAGGGGCGAAGCUUGUGGUGACGGUACCUGCAGAAGAAGCACCGGCUAACUACGUG